GACGAACGCUGGCGGCGUGCUUAACACAUGCAAGUCGAACGGAAAGGCCCUGCUUUUGUGGGGUGCUCGAGUGGCGAACGGGUGAGUAACACGUGAGUAACCUGCCCUUGACUUUGGGAUAACUUCAGGCAACUGGGGCUAAUACCGGAUAGGAGCUCCUGCUUCAUGGUGGGGGUUGGAAAGUUUCGGCGGUUGGGGAUGGACUCGCGGCUUAUCAGCUUGUUGGUGGGGUAGUGGCUUACCAAGGCUUUGACGGGUAGCCGGCCUGAGAGGGUGACCGGCCACAUUGGGACUGAGAUACGGCCCAGACUCCUACGGGAGGCAGCAGUGGGGAAUAUUGCACUAUAGGCGGAAGCCUGAUGCAGCCACGCCGCGUGCGGGAUGACGGCCUUCGGGUUGUAAACCGCUUUCGCCUGUGACGAAGCGUGAGUGACGGUAAUGGGUAAAGAAGCACCGGCUAACUACGUG
rnacentral:rRNA from 1 species